rnacentral:rRNA from 1 species
AUUGAACGCUGGCGGCAGGCCUAACACAUGCAAGUCGAGCGGAUGACGGGAGCUUGCUCCUUGAUUCAGCGGCGGACGGGCGAGUAAUGCCUAGGAAUCUGCCUGGUAGUGGGGGACAACGUUUCGAAAGGAACGCUAAUACCGCCUACGUCCUACGGGAGAAAGCAGGGGACCUUCGGGCCUUGCGCUAUCAGAUGAGCCUAGGUCGGAUUAGCUAGUAGGUGAGGUAAUGGAUCACCUAGGCGACGAUCCGUAACUGGUCUGAGAGGAUGAUCAGUCACACUGGAACUGAGACACGGUCCAGACUCCUACGGGGGGCAGCAGUGGGGAAUAUUGGACAAUGGGCGAAAGCCUGAUCCAGCCAUGCCGCGUGUGUGAAGAAGGUCUUCGGAUUGUAAAGCACUUUAAGUUGGGAGGAAGGGUUGUAGAUUAAUACUCUGCAAUUUUGACGUUACCGACAGAAUAAGCACCGGCUAACUCUGUGCCAGCAGCCGCAGUAAUAC